rnacentral:rRNA from 1 species
AUUGAACGCUGGCGGCAUGCCUUACACAUGCAAGUCGAACGGCAGCGCGGGCUUCGGCCUGGCGGCGAGUGGCGAACGGGUGAGUAAUACAUCGGAACGUGCCUAGUAGUGGGGGAUAACUACUCGAAAGAGUGGCUAAUACCGCAUGAGAUCUAAGGAUGAAAGCAGGGGAUCGCAAGACCUUGUGCUACUAGAGCGGCCGAUGGCAGAUUAGGUAGUUGGUGGGAUAAAAGCUUACCAAGCCGACGAUCUGUAGCUGGUUUGAGAGGACGAUGCGCCAAACUGGGACUGGGACACGGGCCGGACUCCUACGGGAGGCAGCAGUGGUGAAUUUUGGAGAAUGGGCGCAAGCCUGAUCCAGCAAUGCCGCGUGCAGGAUGAAGGCCUUCGGGUUGUAAACUGCUUUUGUACGGAACGAAAAGCCCUGGGUUAAUACCCUGGGGUCAUGACGGUACCGUAAGAAUAAGCACCGGCUAACUACGUGCCAGCAGCCGCGGUAACAC